rnacentral:rRNA from 1 species
UACAGAGGGGGCAAGCGUUGUUCGGAUUCACUGGGCGUAAAGGGUGCGCAGGCGGCCAAGUGUGUGAGGCGUGAAAGCCCGGGGCUUAACCCCGGAAUUGCACCUCAAACUACAUGGCUAGAGCAUUGGAGAGGGUAGCAGAAUUCACGGUGUAGCAGUGAAAUGCGUAGAUAUCGUGAGGAAUACCAGAGGCGAAGGCGGCUACCUGGACAAUUGCUGACGCUCAGGCACGAAAGCGUGGGGAGCAAACAGG